CAGGCUUUUCAAUAGAAAAAAAUCUGUUUUUAUCAGUUUAAUAUCUGAUACGUUCUCUAUCUGGGGACCAUAUAUUAAAUGGAUUUUUAGAACAGGGAGAUGGAAGAAGAGCUUGCUCUGUCCUCUCUCACGCAGUGUCAAAAACCAGAAUUGAAUGGAAAAUCAUCCAGCUUGCCUUGCUCCCAAU